AGUGAACGCUGGCGGUAGGCCUAACACAUGCAAGUCGAACGGAAGCACAGUAAGAGCUUGCUCUUACGGGUGGCGAGUGGCGGAUGGGUGAGGCAUACAUCGGAAUCUACUUUUUCGUGGGGGAUAUCGUAGGGACACUUACGCUAAUACCGCAUAUGAUCUACGGGUGAAAUCAGGGGUUCUUCGGACCUUGCGCGAUUGAUUGAGCCGAUGUCGGAUUAGCUAGUUGGCAGGGUAAAGGCCCACCAAGGCGACGAUCCGUAGCUGGUCUGAGAGGAUGAUCAGCCACACUGGAACUGAGACACGGUCCAGACUCCUACGGGAGGCAGCAGUGGGGAAUAUUGGACAAUGGGCGCAAGCCUGAUCCAGCCAUACCGCGUGAGUGAAGAAGGCCUUCGGAUUGUAAAGCCCUUUUGUUAGGAAAGAAAAACAGCAUAUGAAUACCCCGCUGUUCUGACGGUACCCAAAGAAUAAGCACCGGCUAACUUCGUG
rnacentral:rRNA from 1 species